rnacentral:tRNA from 1 species
GGAUGUAGCUCAGCUGGUUAGAGCGCUGGUUUGUGGCACCAGAGGCCGUGGGUUCGAGUCCCAUCUUC